AAAUUUUCAUUUUUAAUAAUAAUUAUUUUCUUACAUUAUUAUUAUUCUUUCAUUUUAGGAAAAAAAUAUAAUCAUGAUCUUCAGAUCCUCCCAUUCCAUAAUUAAAAUCGCCAUUAUUUUUCUUACAUUUUUUAAAACUCUCCAUUCCAUAAUCACAAUCCCCCAUACCCUAUUGUGCAAAUUGCUUCAGCAAACAAAAGUAAAAAAUAAUAAUUAAACUACAUAUCACCAUAUUUUAUGUUAAAUAAUAAAAUAAAAUCCACACCCCAACCAUUCCCUAAAUCUCAUCCUAGUCAUCCAAUUUUUCAUCAUUCUCUAACUCUCAAUCUUUUCCAUAACUUUCACUCCACUUCAAAUCUUUCCUAUUCCACAAAAAAAAUAAAAAUUCACAAAAAAUAAUAAUCUGGUGCUAGUUAUUUAUAUAAAUUUAAUGACUAAAAAUUAAAAAAUUAAAAAAAUAUAAAAUCAUAAAAAAGAGAAUUAAAGAAGAUGAGAGGAUUAUUUUGGGCUUUCAUAAAGAGAUGCUACCUAAGGUUCGAAGGGAUUU
rnacentral:lncRNA from 1 species